UUCAUUAUCAUCAACACGACCUCCUGUAUUGUUUCAUCAAUUUUCAGCAAUGUAUCAUUCAGAAGACACUUCUAAAGAGGAUUUACAAGUGCUAAAAAUGUGAGUAUUUUGCUUUGGAACUUAAACUACAAGUAAAAGUAUUAUGCAUCAAAUGUUUUACUUUGUGUUUUUUCAUUGUUUUUUUUGUUUAAAAAAAGUAAAAGUAUUAUGUACUUUGUUAUGUUGUUAAAAUGUGUAAACUAAGUAUAUUUGUGCUCAACUGAGAUUAAUCCCUCAACAUUUGAUAUGCGCGCAACUUUUCUUUGGACCAGGGAUGGCAAAAAAAAAAAAAAAAAAGCAGUGCACACGGGUACCGAUCAAUAAAAUUCGUCACGGGCACGGGGAUGGUAGCUAAACGGAUAUCCACGUGUAUAUUAAAUAAGUAUUUGACUACCCAUUGUUUUAUAGAUACAGACACAGAUUUGCUGAUACCCGUUUCCGCGGAUACCCAUACCCGAUAAUAGAGUUCAAAACAGAAAUAGGCAGUUUAUAACUAAUUUAUUCAGAAUUCAUCGCAAUAUGAAUUUGUUAAGUGUAAAAUUUAACAUUAAAUGCAUAACUAAAUCUUUAAAUCAAACAUAACCGAAUACAAACAUUUCCUAAAAAAUAAGAGAGAACAAUUUGGGUUCUAUAUACAAACAAGAGUGGAAAAGGUACCAUGGAUGCAACAGAAACAUGUUUGACAAUGGCUCGAAGCUCCGGAGAUGUAACCCGUACACCAUAGCUGAAAAUGAAAAUAAAUGUCAUCUUUACAUGAGAUAAAAAACAACAAUGAACAACAUGUGCAUAUUAUCUAUUUCAGCUACUUUGAAAAGAUUAAUAAGUUUUCUUAAGUUAUUCAUAGGUGAAAAAAAUAUGUUAAUUUUUUGAUAGAUAAUUAUUAAGUGAUUUAGAAAAACAAUCCAAUCCGAGAGAGGGAAAAAACCCCAAUGCAUUCUUUGAGCAUAUUCACUCGAACCUUUUUCGUUUUUAAAUCUUUUUAGCAAGAGUUGGUUAUACUUAUCUUAGAAGGAAAAAAUAAAGAGGUAAUAGAUAGAAGAGGAAGACCCACAUGCUUAUGUUUCAUCAUUUCAAUCCUUGCAUAACAAUUGCUUCUUCUAGCUCUCCAAACUCAAAAUUGUAUCCAUUGCUAGCAAAUAGGCAAAUAACAAAAACAUAUUAGAUAUAAAAAAAACAAUGAUGAAUUAUGGAUCAAGGUUGAUAAAGGGUAGCUAAUCCUAUGAUGAAUUCCAUACGUGACACUGAUGACGGUGCACAUUCAUGAAAUAAAACAGCCAGCAGAGAGCUAAGAUAAAACAAUAUACGGUGACAAUCAGUAUGUCUUCAUUUUCUCCAGCUACUAUAUUUUAACAUAUACAAAGUAUGACCACAUACACAAACUAUUUAAAAUGCCUAAAACAGAGCAUUGGACAACCAAACUAAACAGAGCAUUUAAAACAAGGUGAAAGAUUUGAAAAUCUAUUUUAAAGGGAGAUUUUUUAACAUUUGAUGAAUGUAUAUUUUGUGUCUUUGAUUUUCUUUAUGAAGAUUACAAAAAAGAUAUAUUAGAAUAAUGUCAAUCAAGUAAAAGAGAUUAUACUUUCUUGCUUAAUAUUAUCAAUUAGAAUAGCCCUUUUUUUGAAAACUGGUUAUUUGCAGGUUAUUUGUGUUGAAUAAAAAAAGAGUGGCAAUAAGUAGUUAUUUCAAAGGUGGAAAAGUGUCUACACGAAUACAACAAGAGUCACACAAAGCCAACAAAUACAAUCGGUGUUCGCAUUGGGUAUAUCGCAACUAACUUUGUGG
rnacentral:lncRNA from 1 species